AUGGUACUACUGCUCACAGUGAGGUUGCUGGAGUUUGAUUGAUACAUAAACCUACCUAAGUCUCAAUGAGCCCUUGUAGUGGAUGUUGGUGAUAGUUGGUCCACUGUAGAAGUAGGAUGCAUAUCAAGAUGAGAUCUAUCGACCUUGAUAGAGAGGAGUAGUCCUAUGGGAAGGAACACAGUGUGAUUGAUGGAAAGGAGU
rnacentral:lncRNA from 1 species